GACGAGGGAUCCUAGCGUUGUUCGGAAUUAUUGGGCGUAAAGCGGAUGUAGGUGGCUUUGUAAGUCAGAUGUGAAAGCCCAGGGCUCAACCCUGGAAGUGCAUUUGAUACUGCGAAGCUUGAGUGUCGGAGAGGUUACUAGAAUUGUUGGUGUAGUGGUAAAAUACGUAGAUAUCAACAGGAAUACCGGAGGCGAAGGCGGGUAACUGGCCGAACACUGACACUGAGAUCCGAAAGCGUGGGGAUCAAACAGG
rnacentral:rRNA from 1 species